UAAGAACUUAUGCAGGUCAUCCAGCUCUU
rnacentral:piRNA from 1 species